CGGAAACCACUUUUGACCAUUAGGGAGAGUGACCAAAACCUUCAGUGACCUCGUGGAAACCUGGGGUGGUGGGAAAGGUCACCAGAGGUUGCUGUUUAGGUCUCCUAAGUGGGACAGGGGCUUUACAUUCGUACAUCUGUAGAG